rnacentral:rRNA from 1 species
GCUGGCGGCAGGCCUAACACAUGCAAGUCGAGCGGAAACGACAUUAACAAUCCUUCGGGCUGCGUUAAUGGGCGUCGAGCGGCGGACGGGUGAGUAAUGCCUAGGAAAUUGCCUUGAUGUGGGGGAUAACCAUUGGAAACGAUGGCUAAUACCGCAUAAUGCCUACGGGCCAAAGAGGGGGAUCUUCGGACCUCUCGCGUCAAGAUAUGCCUAGGUGGGAUUAGCUAGUUGGUGAGGUAAUGGCUCACCAAGGCGACGAUCCCUAGCUGGUCUGAGAGGAUGAUCAGCCACACUGGAACUGAGACACGGUCCAGACUCCUACGGGAGGCAGCAGUGGGGAAUAUUGCACAAUGGGCGAAAGCCUGAUGCAGCCAUGCCGCGUGUAUGAAGAAGGCCUUCGGGUUGUAAAGUACUUUCAGUUGUGAGGAAGGGGGUAACGUUAAUAGCGUUAUCUCUUGACGUUAGCAACAGAAGAAGCACCGGCUAACUCCGUGCCAGCAGCCGCGGUAAUACGGAGGGUGCGAGCGUUAAUCGGAAUUACUGGGCGUAAAGCGCAUGCAGGUGGUUCAUUAAGUCAGAUGUGAAAGCCCGGGGCUCAACCUCGGAACUGCAUUUGAAACUGGUGAACUAGAGUGCUGUAGAGGGGGGUAGAAUUUCAGGUGUA